rnacentral:rRNA from 2 species
GACGCAUCACUGGUGUUCGGGUUGUCAUGCCAAUGGCACUGCCCGGUAGCUAAAUGCGGAAGAGAUAAGUGCUGAAAGCAUCUAAGCACGAAACUUGCCCCGAGAUGAGUUCUCCCUGACUCCUUGAGAGUCCUGAAGGAACGUUGAAGACGACGACGUUGAUAGGCCGGGUGUGUAAGCGCAGCGAUGCGUUGAGCUAACCGGUACUAAUGAACCGUGAGGCUUAACCUUACAACGCCGAAGCUGUU